UCCGUGUACCCUACCGAAUCAUAGUGUGCUAGCCUCCAAUCGCUCUCCAUCAAUUACGCGAAAACCUCAAAACCCGCAGUCCUCACACAGCGCCUAAUCAUCAAUCAUUCAUCCACUAGCAACCUCUGCAAAUUCACCUUCAAACUCCGUUUUAGGUCUUUGAAUUGAAUGGUUAAUCCACCCAACACACUCCGUCCUACGUCUUCUCCAGUUUCGCAAUGGGCGCCAGUCGAAAGCUACAGGGCGAGAUCGAUCGAGUCUUAAAGAAAGUCCAAGAAGGCGUCGACGUCUUCGACAGCAUAUGGAACAAGGUCUACGACACGGACAAUGCGAACCAGAAGGAGAAGUUCGAGGCCGAUUUGAAGAAGGAGAUUAAGAAGCUCCAGAGGUACAGGGACCAGAUCAAGACAUGGAUUCAAUCCAGCGAGAUCAAGGAUAAGAAGGUUAGUGCGUCUUAUGAGCAGGCUCUGAUGGAUGCUCGCAAGCUCAUCGAGCGUGAAAUGGAAAGGUUUAAGAUAUGUGAAAAGGAAACUAAGACAAAAGCCUUUUCCAAGGAAGGCUUGGGCCAGCAACCUAAGACGGAUCCGAGGGAGAAGGCCAAGUCAGAGACAAGAGAUUGGUUGAACAAUGUGGUGGGAGAGUUAGAAUCGCAAAUUGAUAGCUUUGAAGCUGAGAUUGAGGGGCUCUCUGUUAAGAAAGGGAAAACGAGGCCGCCCAGAUUGACACAUUUGGAGACAUCUAUUGUCCGGCACAAGGCCCAUAUAAUGAAGUUAGAAUUGAUCCUAAGGCUUUUGGAUAAUGAUGAACUGAGUCCUGAGCAGGUCAAUGAUGUGAAGGAUUUCUUGGAUGACUAUGUGGAGCGUAAUCAGGAGGACUUUGAUGAUUUUAGUGAUGUUGAUGAGCUUUACAACACUUUGCCGUUAGACAAGGUGGAGUCUCUUGAAGAGCUAGUUGCAAUUGUUCCUCCUGCUCUUGUUAAGGGUGUUGGUGCCACCAGUUCAGUUUUAGGCAUGAAAACUUCUGUGACAGCACUGCCAACUCAACAGCCGGCAACAGGGACAUCUUUGGUUGAACAAGGUACUUCCAUCCAGGAGCAAGCUGAGGAGAUGGCUUCCCAGGAUGUUAAUUCUGAUCUUCUUCCAAGGACUCCACCUCCUAAAGAUAGUCCGAUAACUCCGAUUGGUUCUUCUGGUCCAUCAACACCAGUAUUGAGCCAUGCAACUCCACUUGCUGUAAAUGCUUCACCUCAUAAUUCACCUACUGUAUCAGCUGCUUCAGCAAUUCUUUCAGGUCCAAGUUCUGCUCCGGUUAUGUUGGAAAAUGUUGGUGCUGUUGCAUCUUCGUCCUCUUUAACUCUGUCUAAUUCUGCUAAGGAGGAAGAGACUGCAAGGUUCCCUGGUCAUAAAUCAUCUCCGGCUCUCUCUGAAACUGGACUAAGGGGCAUUGGUAGAGGUGGCCUUGCCAACCCUCCAUCUAUUAGUAUCCCUAUUAGUGCUGGCAGUGCAAUUCCUAGCAACGGAGCACUUGGUGCUGUUCCUUCUGCUUCUGAAAUGGCAAAGAGAAAUAUAUUGGGAGCUGAUGAGAGACUUGGGAGUGCUGGCAUCGUGCAACCUCUGGCUUCCCCACUGAGUAGUAGAACCAUCUUGCCACAGGCUCCCAAGGCUAACGAUGGAAGCAGCUCCUCUGACGGAGUUAAUAUUGGUGAGAGUGCAGCCAUGACGAGCAGGGUCUUCUCCCCCUCUGCAGUUUCUGGUAUGCAGUGGAGGCCUGGAAGUUCCUUUCCGAACCAGAGUGAAGGGGGACAAAUCCGUGGUAGAACUGAAAUCACACCAGAUCAGAGAGAGAAGUUUUUGCAACGAUUCCAGCAGGUGCAGCAACAAGGUCAGAGUAACCUUCUUGGCAUGCCUUCUCUUGGUGGAGGAAAUCAUAAACAGUUCUCUGCACAACAGAACCCUCUCUUGCAGCAGUUCAUUCCUCAAAGCUCAUCUGUCUCACCUCAAGUUGGGUUUGGAAUUGGAGUCCAAGCACCAAGUCUCAACAGUAUUGCAUCUCCCUCACAGCUGCAGACAAAUUCAAUCCAUCAACAGUCUUCUCAGCUGGCAUUGACAUCGACAGGGCCAAAAGAUGCUGAUCCAGGGCAUGCGAAAGUUGAGGAGACCCAUCAACAGCAGAAUCUAUCUGAUGAUUCAACCUCUGAACCUGCUCCAAGUUCUGGGCUUGGCAAGAAUCUUAUUAAUGAAGACGAGUUGAAAGCUUCUUAUGCACUAGAUACACCUGCAGGAGCAUCUGGCUCUUUGACAGAAUCUACCCAAGGUCCUAGGGAUAUUGAUCUUUCUCCUGGCCAACCAUUGCAAACAAAUCAACCCUCUGGCAGCCUGGGUGUCAUUGGUCGAAGAAGUGUUUCAGAUCUCGGUGCAAUUGGUGAUAACCUGGGUGGAUCAUCUGCAAUUUCAGGGGGAAUGCAUGACCAGUUGUACAAUUUUCAGAUGCUUGAGGCUGCUUAUCACAAACGUCCUCAACCCAAAGACUCUGAACGAGCAAAAAGCUAUAAUCCGAGGCACCCUGCAGUGACUCCUCCUAGCUAUCCUCAAGCACAGGCACCCAUUGUCAACAAUCCUGCAUUUUGGGAACGUUUAGGAGCUGAUAGUUAUGGCAUUGACACACUAUUCUUUGCAUUUUACCAUCAACAGAAUACUUAUCAGCAAUAUUUGGCUGCAAAGGAGUUGAAGAAGCAAUCAUGGAGAUACCAUAGGAAAUACAACACGUGGUUUCAACGGCAUGAGGAGCCAAAGGUGACCACUGAUGAGUUUGAACAGGGCACAUAUGUGUACUUUGAUUUCCAUUACAAUGACGAGAUGCAACAUGGAUGGUGUCAAAGAAUCAAGACUGAGUUCACAUUUGAGUACAACUACCUUGAAGAUGAACUUAUCGUGUAGAAUAUGUACAGAAUCCAUCAGAUUGCUGAAAGUUAACAUCUUCCAGCUUUUGCCAUCCUGAUGAGACUUGUAACUUCGUAUUAUCAUAAUUCUACGUUCUCUUCCCCAAUGGAGUCCUGCUGAGUUGUUGCAAUUUGUGCGCUUCACAAUGACUAAUAGGGUAGUUAUCUCAGAAAGGAUCGUUGUUAACCAUGGAGAAAUGUCUCAGAUUGUAUGACCCCCAGGUGAAAUGCAAUGCUUAUGAACUACAAAUUGGAAAGGACCGUUAUCUCAGAAAGGACCGUUAUUAACCAUGGAGCAAUGUCUCAGAUUGUAUGACCCCCGGGUGAAAUGCACUACAUAUGAACUACUAACUGGAAAAAGUCUAGUAUUCUGUGAUGAAACAACUCCAGGCACCUUGCUUAUUAGUCCCUUUUCGUGUUAAUAUAUUUGGUUGCAGGAUUUUGGUGAUGCCCUUUGGAAUCGAUUAACCAGUUUAAUAUACUGCAUUGUUCAUUGACA